rnacentral:rRNA from 1 species
AUCGAACGCUGGCGGCAGGCCUAACACAUGCAAGUCGAACGAGUGGCGGACGGGUGAGUAAUGUCUGGGAAACUGCCUGAUGGAGGGGGAUAACUACUGGAAAAGGUAGCUAAUACCGCAUACCAUCAGAUGUGCCCAGAUGGGAUUAGGUUGUGGGUGGGGUAACGGCUCACCAAGGCGACGAUCCCUAGCUGGGCUGAGAGGAUGACCAGCAACACUGGGACGGAGACACGGUCCAGACUCCUACGGGAGGCAGCAGUGGGGAAUAUGGCACAAUGGGCGCAAGUCUGAUGCAGCCAGGCCGCGUGUAUGAAGAAGGCCUUCGGGUUGUAAAGUACUUUCAGCGGGGAGGCGUUACCCGCAGAAGAAGCACCGGCUAACUCCGUGCCAGCAGCCGCGGUAAUUC